rnacentral:rRNA from 1 species
AAAAAUGCACAUACUGUGAGCUCGAUGAGUAGGGCGGGACACGUGGUAUCCUGUCUGAAUAUGGGGGGACCAUCCUCCAAGGCUAAAUACUCCUGACUGACCGAUAGUGAACCAGUACCGUGAGGGAAAGGCGAAAAGAACCCCGGCGAGGGGAGUGAAAAAGAACCUGAAACCGUGUACGUACAAGCAGUGGGAGCACGCUUAGGCGUGUGACUGCGUACCUUUUGUAUAAUGGGUCAGCGACUUAUAUUCUGUAGCAAGGUUAACCGAAUAGGGGAGCCGAAGGGAAACCGAGUCUUAACUGGGCGUUAAGUUGCAGGGUAUAGACCCGAAACCCGGUGAUCUAGCCAUGGGCAGGUUGAAGGUUGGGUAACACUAACUGGAGGACCGAACCGACUAAUGUUGAAAAAUUAGCGGAUGACUUGUGGCUGGGGGUGAAAGGCCAAUCAAACCGGGAGAUAGCUGGUUCUCCCCGAAAGCUAUUUAGGUAGCGCCUCGUGAAUUCAUCUCCGGGGGUAGAGCACUGUUUCGGCAAGGGGGUCAUCCCGACUUACCAACCCGAUGCAAACUGCGAAUACCGGAGAAUGUUAUCACGGGAGACACACGGCGGGUGCUAACGUCCGUCGUGAAGAGGGAAACAACCCAGACCGCCAGCUAAGGUCCCAAAGUCAUGGUUAAGUGGGAAACGAUGUGGGAAGGCCCAGACAGCCAGGAUGUUGGCUUAGAAGCAGCCAUCAUUUAAAGAAAGCGUAAUAGCUCACUGGUCGAGUCGGCCUGCGCGGAAGAUGUAACGGGGCUAAACCAUGCACCGAAGCUGCGGCAGCGACGCUUAUGCGUUGUUGGGUAGGGGAGCGUUCUGUAAGCCUGCGAAGGUGUGCUGUGAGGCAUGCUGGAGGUAUCAGAAGUGCGAAUGCUGACAUAAGUAACGAUAAAGCGGGUGAAAAGCCCGCUCGCCGGAAGACCAAGGGUUCCUGUCCAACGUUAAUCGGGGCAGGGUGAGUCGACCCCUAAGGCGAGGCCGAAAGGCGUAGUCGAUGGGAAACAGGUUAAUAUUCCUGUACUUGGUGUUACUGCGAAGGGGGGACGGAGAAGGCUAUGUUGGCCGGGCGACGGUUGUCCCGGUUUAAGCGUGUAGGCUGGU